rnacentral:rRNA from 1 species
UGAGGAAUAUUGCGCAAUGGGCGAAAGCCUGACGCAGCGACGCCGCGUGAAGGAUGAAGGCUUUCGAGUUGUAAACUUCUGUUAAGUGGGAAGAAAUACCCGUUUCUAAUACAGACGGGGGAUGACGGUACCAUUAAAGAAAGCACCGGCUAAUCUCGUGCCAGCAGCCGCGGUAAUACGAGAGGUGCGAGCGUUAUUCGGAAUAAUUGGGCGUACAGGGUGUGUAGGUGGUAUGUUAAGUCAACUGUUAAAUCUUCCGGCCUAACCGGAAAUAUGCAGUAGAUACUGAUGUGCUAGAGGAUGGAAGAGAGAAGUGGAAUUCUCGGAGUAGCGGUAAAAUGCGUAGAUCUCGAGAGGAACACCAAUGGCGAAGGCAGCUUCUUGGUCCACUCCUGACACUGAGACACGAAAGCGUGGGGAGCAAACAGGAUUAGAUACCCGGGUAGUCC